CUAGGCUCAGCCACCUGUGCUUGGAAGUGAACUCUGAGAAAGCAGGAAUGCAAAUAUUUAUUUUGGAAAAAUCUUGGAUUUACCCCUACUUCAAGUGUGGUCAGAAUACUAUGAUGACAGACUUCAUCUGAGAUGUAAGACAGGCAAGGCAGCACUUUGCCUUGGAACUCAGAAAUGGGCCAGUGAAACAAUACCAACCUCGGGGGUCCUGCCUUCAGAUGGUUGUGAUGUAUCCAGGCAGAAUGUCCGGCUACCUUCACUGCCCAAGGAGUCAACAGGACAACAGGAACCGGUCCCUUCCAACGUGGUUCUAGGGUCUUGGGAAUCAAACCUACGAAUAAAAAC
ensembl:lncRNA